GAGUAGUUCAUCUUCAGUUUUCAGAAAGCUAGGAAGAGAAGGUAUUUGUGCAUCAUUUCUCAUCUGAGCAGGAUACAAUCCGCAGGUCCUAGCUGACAACGUCUCGGAUAAAGGACCAUUUAUUCUCAGGGACGUGGAGGAUAUGGAGCCUCUGAUGAUUCUACUUCUGCUAGCAGGACUAGCAGGGAAGCCAUCAGCGACAGACACAACAGCAAUAGGUAA